rnacentral:tRNA from 1 species
UGGGCGACGGCUGUUGAAGUGGUGAGUUGUAGCCUCAUUUAUGGGGAUAAUAUCCUCUCUCCCGG